AUGUAUCUAAACAGGGUUUUGGAUGAGCUGAAUGCUAAGAUCCAAAAGGACCACAGAGAAAACUCCACCCUUCCUAAAAUAGCCAAGACCUCAAGACGGGAAAAGGAUGAAGGGGAUGACAAGAACCGAAGAGGCAAAGACAAGAAACAAUCAGAGGACAUGGAUGUGAAAGUCAACAAGGAAAAGGAGAAGAGAAACAAGGAGAGUGGAGAGGAAAAAAUACAGAAAUCAAAAGGCAAGCUACCUUUAAAGACCCCUAAGACCAUUGGGAGUCCCUUAGAAUCUUUGAGCGUUAAGCAAACCAAAACAUUAGGCACCAAGAGUAUCGAUAAUGCAUCAAAAACCAUUGUGGCUAUUAGAAGUAAACCGGGAAAAGCCAUUGGUACAGAGCUCAGAAAGGACCCUGAUAUUUGUAAACUUGCUGAAACCCCUACUUCAGAUUCAUUGGAGGCUUCCAAGAAUGCAACAGAUCAAGUAGCUAAACCUAAACAUGGGGAAGUUGCUUCUCCAGAGCCAAGGAAGUGCCAUUCGAAAAAUAUGGAUACAAAAGACAGAGAUUCAACUGGCUUGCGUUCUAGUUGUUCCAACAAAAAUGUGUCAAGUAGGACUGAGAAAGGUGUGAUGGAGAUCUGGAGGUCUAAAUCCGAGCCAAGUCAAGACUCUGGGAAGAGCCAGAUCAACUCAAACACAAAAGUUUCCAAAUUGUCUAAAAGCUCAACCACUGAUCAUCCGAAUGAGAGUCCAUCUCGAAAAGCUUCUUUGAAAUCAAUCAUUUAUCCUGCAGGCGCCAACUCAUCACGGAGUAUAGGUAAAAUAUCCUCUACAGAACACCCUGAAAGUGCUGCAACAGACAUUUACGCAACAGGGUUGGCACUAAAAGCGUCUCAUCCAUCGAGUAGUGACCACACAGAGGACGCCACUUCAACUACCCCUUCUGUUGCCAAGCAGUGCAAGACAAAUUCUACCUCAGAGCAUCAGAACAAUCAUUCAAACAUAGACACAGAGCCAAGAAGGACCUGUGAAUGUCCCCAAGUCUUACCCUCAAACCCCAAACCAUCUAAAACUACCUCAAACUUUGGCCAAAAAGUGACCACAACCAAAUCACCCUUGUCCACCAGCCCAUCAAAGACUCUUACCUCAAGUCUUUCAGAGCUCCCGUCCACAGUUUGUAAGGAGUCCAGUCCUGCCCACAGCACUACAACACUAUCUAAAGAAACCCUUCAAACUGGCUCAUCUUCACAUAUUAAACCCACAUAUAACACACGCGUACCCAACAUGCCUUCCAGGGACCUUCCAAUGGACCCAAUCAAAAAUCAUCAGGAUAGUUUAAAUACUUCAAACCAGGACAUCAAUGAGGAUCCUGGGUGCUUGAAGAUGAGUCUGGCAUCCAAAAUAGCUGCAAACCACCCUGGGAUAUCUAAGUCUUUUGAGCCCUGCAGCCUCCAUGGGCAGAGUGUUUCCAAGCACAAGAUCACCACAGAAUCCAGAACCUCAACCACCAUGCCUAUUGAAACCCCUAAAAUCAGCACACCAGUAGGGACAACUAUCCCGAAAACGUUGAAAGUCUCAAACAAAGAGAACAGAGAGGAUUUUGCGCUUUCUAUGUCCAUCAUUGCAACAACCAAAACUUUGGUAAAUCAAACCUCAAAGGUUUCUAAAAGCAAAAAUAUUGAGCAAAAGAACAACAGCAGUGAAGAUGAACCUAACAUUAAAUCCUCAAACCCCUCUCACUGCAAAUCUUUGAUCAAAGGACCAAAAGCAAGGCUUGGCUCUUUUACCACCACAACAAUGACUCAGAAAACAACAUUUUCUACAGAGACACGAAAGAAAACAGGGAACCCUGAAAGGAAUAACACAACAAAUAUACCGACCUCAUUCACUUCUACAGUGACUCCAGACCACAAGGCUUCAGCAAGAAGCUCUGUAUUUCACAGCAACACAGACAUUAACGAGUUUGAUUUAAGUCAACUCCAUUACUCUCCACCACCUCCUCCUCCUCCCCCUUCCUCGACUCCUCUACUCCUUCCUCCAUCUUCCACACCCCUUAUCCCGUCCUUCUCUGUCGUCAGUACUGACAGCCCAGUCUCCAGCGAUCAGCUUAACCCUGGGGCGAGCUUCCAUCCUGGGACCCUCAGCGUUUGGUAA
ensembl:lncRNA